CAAUAGCGUAUAUUAAAGUUGUUGCAGUUAAAAAGCUCGUAGUUGGAUUUCUGGUAGGAGCGACCGUGCCGAACUUGAUUGUUCGAGUAUUGUGUUGUCUUCAGCCAUCCCCGUGGAGAACUUUUCUAACAUUAACUUGUUGGGAUUGGGACCCGCGUCGUUUACUGUGAAAAAAUUAGAGUGUUUAAAGCAGGCAUUAGCUUGAAUACAUUAGCAUGGAAUAAUAAGAUAGGACUUUGGUACUAUUUUGUUGGUUUGCAUACCAAAUUAAUGAUCAACAGGAACAGUUUGAGGAUAUUCGUAUGAACAUGUCAGAGGUGAAAUUCUUGGAUUUUGAUCAGACGAACUACUGCGAAAGCAUUUAUCAAGGAUGUUUUCAUUAA
rnacentral:rRNA from 1 species